rnacentral:rRNA from 1 species
AACGAACGCUGGCGGCGUGGAUUAGGCAUGCAAGUCGUGCGCGAAAGUGGUAGCAAUACUGCGAGUAGAGCGGCGAACUGGUGAGUACAAGGUGACUAACGUGCCCCUGAGUGGGGGAUAACUCGCCGAAAGGCGGGCUAAUACCGCAUGAUCUCCGUGGUGUCUCGGCAUCGCGGAGUAAAGCAGUAAUGCGCUCGGGGAUCGGGUCACCUCCCAUUAGCUAGUUGGUGAGGUAACGGCCCACCAAGGCUACGAUGGGUAGCUGGUCUGAGAGGAUGGUCAGCCACACUGGGACUGAGAUACGGCCCAGACUCCUACGGGAGGCAG